rnacentral:rRNA from 1 species
AACGAACGCUGGCGGCAUGCCUAACACAUGCAAGUCGAACGAGACCUUCGGGUCUAGUGGCGCACGGGUGCGUAACGCGUGGGAACCUGCCCUUAGGUUCGGAAUAACUCCCCGAAAGGGGUGCUAAUACCGGAUAAUGUCUUCGGACCAAAGAUUUAUCGCCUUUGGAUGGGCCCGCGUUGGAUUAGCUAGUUGGUAGGGUAAAAGCCUACCAAGGCGACGAUCCAUAGCUGGUCUGAGAGGAUGAUCAGCCACACUGGGACUGAGACACGGCCCAGACUCCUACGGGAGGCAGCAGUGGGGAAUAUUGGACAAUGGGCGAAAGCCUGAUCCAGCAAUGCCGGGUGAAUGAUGAAGGCCUUAGGGUUGUAAAGCUCUUUUAACCGGGAUGAUAAUGACAGUACCGGGAGAAUAAGCUCCGGCUAACUCCGUG